GAAAAAUAACGAUACGGGACUCAUCCGAGGCCCCGUAAUCGGAAUGAGUACACUUUAAAUCCUUUAACAAGUAUCCAUUGGAGGGUAAGUCUGGUGCCAGCAGCCGCGGUAAUUCCAGCUCCAAUAGCGUAUAUUAAAGUUGUUGCGGUUAAAAAGCUCGUAGUUGGACUUGUGUCCCACGCUGUCGGUUCACCGCCCGUCGGUGUCUAACUGACAUGUAUCGUGGGACGUCCUGCCGGUGGUGGCGAGUCGAAAGAUCGCGCCCCCGUGGUUCUGCCAUGGGUAGGUUGCGGUUCGUAGACGGACCCCGAUGAAAUCCUACCGCGGUGCUCUUAAACGAGUGUCGAGGUGGGCCGGCACGUUUACUUUGAACAAAUUAGAGUGCUUAAAGCAGGCCUGAUGCGCCUGAAUACAGUGUGCAUGGAAUAAUGGAAUAGGACCUCGGUUCUAUUUUGUUGGUUUUCGGAACCCGAGGUAAUGAUUAAUAGGGACAGUCGGGGGCAUUCGUAUUGCGACGUUAGAGGUGAAAUUCUUGGAUCGUCGCAAGACGGACCGAAGCGAAAGCAUUUGCCAAGUAUGUUUUCAUUAAUCAAGAACGAAAGUUAGAGGUUCGAAGGCGAUCAGAUACCGCCCUAGUUCUAACCAUAAACGAUGCCAGCUAGCGAUCCGCCGAAGUUCCUCCGAUGACUCGGCGGGCAGCUCCCGGGAAACCAAAGCUUUUGGGUUCCGGGGGAAGUAUGGUUGCAAAGCUGAAACUUAAAGGAAUUGACGGAAGGGCACCACCAGGAGUGGAGCCUGCGGCUUAAUUUGACUCAACACGGGAAACCUCACCAGGCCCGGACACUGGAAGGAUUGACAGAUUGAGAGCUCUUUCUUGAUUCAGUGGGUGGUGGUGCAUGGCCGUUCUUAGUUGGUGGAGCGAUUUGUCUGGUUAAUUCCGAUAACGAACGAGACUCUAGCCUGCUAAAUAGUCGCAUCCGGUAU
rnacentral:rRNA from 1 species